rnacentral:RNase_P_RNA from 1 species
ACUACAAACCGGGCUAUCGCCUUUCCCGCAAGGGAGGGGAGGAAAGUCUGGACAGCAUAGGGCAAUGUACCGGUGAAUAGCCGGGUCCUUUCUCCCGAUACAAUCGGGAGGAGGGAACAGACAGUGCCACAGAAAAUUACAGCUUGCAUCCCGGCCCUGGCCGGGACUAGUUCUGACCCCCCGGGUUGGAAGGGUGAUGGUGAAAACGUGGGGUAAGAGCCCACGGCUUUGCCGGGCGACCGGCAGGGCGGGUAAACCUUGCAUGCUGAAAUGCCAUGUAUACCAGCGUUGAAGAGCGGCUCGCUCGAAUGCUCCGUUAAAAGGGCUACGUUGGGUGGGUAGGCAGAAUGAUCCGGUCAGUAAUGGCCGGACAAGAUAAAUGAUAGCCUCCCGAUCGUAUCGGGAUACAGAAUCCGGCUUACAGGUUUGUAGUUAUU